GACUGCCAAAGUGUUCCAUAUAUGAUGGUUGAUGUGCAGUAACUUUAUCCGGAUCUCCUGGUAUCAUCUUCCCAAAAUAUGUGUGGACCCAUCGGCAAUGGAUUUUUUGUAAGGUGGCAGAGAAAUGAUUGCCGAUGUAUUUCUAGAUCACUCAAACUUAUGCCAAGCCACCUUCAAGGUAGGGA